CGCCGCUCAUGAGAGAAGGGGAUUUUAUUCUUAUUUAAAACCCUAGUUGGCCCCUUCUCACAAUUUCAACGGCUGCUUCUGACGAUGCAAUGGACGCCCCCACCAAAUGGGAGUUCAGCUGGUCUCUUUCUCUCUCUAUAGUCUCUCUGUGUUUUUGUAUGUGUAUUUGUUAUUGUUUGUAUGUUGAGGGGUUUAUGGGAUUUUUAUGUAUUGAUAUAUAAUCAAGAUUAAAAGGAGAAAACAGAGCCUUCUUUCGCUGUUCUGAAAUUUUUUUUACUUCAGUUUUUCCUUGAUAAUUUACUUGAUUGGGCAUUUAUAUGUAUUUACUGACUUUAAUUCAUUGGAGUUUCGUUAAUUCGACCAUAAUGACUGUUAACAAGAACGUGUAAAUUAAUUUUUUUUUUCCGAAAUGGAAAUUGAGCUGCUCUUAUAUCUAAAGGUAAAAAGUUAUGAAAAAUAUUAGAUAUGGUGAUUGUGAUUGUUAGAAUCUCUAAUGAUGGCUUUGAUGAUUUUCACUUUGGCAGCCACAGCCCUAGAACAACAGAAAACGCUUAACAUUGUCCGCAUGUGGAAUGGUUUUACCUCGUGUUUAGAUCACUGGACUUGCGGUUUAGAAUUAUGUCAUUUGCCCCAACCUUAUACAUUCUAGAAUUAAGCUGCAAACUAACAAUUCAUUCAUGGUUGAAAUGGAUUCCUUUCGAUGCUAUUUCCUUUUCUUUCAGUCGGUGGUUUGGAUAAAAGAAUUGGAACAAUGGUGGUUUUGAAUGAGAGUUGGGACAAAAAAUUAAAUUAAAUUAUAAAAAUCAGCCUUUUAUCCACUUGCAUCUGUUCUAACUUUACCAUUGUAUUGUAUAUGCAUCUUCAAUGCAUCAAGUACCAUAUGUUCUUUUCACUAAAGUUAUCCAUGCUCCAUCAAUAACGACAGCCUAAGUCCAAGAAACGAAGUAUGAUGGUUGUUUUUAUUAAUCAAGAAAUAGGAUUGAUCAGUUAAUAAAUUAAUAGAAUAUAAGAUACUUUCUUGGAUGAUCUUUGGUGACUGGAUUAUAUUCUAGGUAGAAAUAUAUCUGGGUAUACAUUAUUAUUUUUAAGUAUGCAAGUGAAGACAUGAUGAAAUGAUUUGAAUGUCGUGAGGGACAUUAUUAAAUAAUAUUAAGGAAGAAUAUAAUUUAAGUUAAAAUCAUGUUUAUUAUGUUUUUUAGUACUUCACACCAAACCUGUACUUAUUGUAUUGCCUAAUAUGAUUGUCGUUAACUUAAAAAUCUGUCUGCAGCGACUUGGAAGUAGAUUACGAGUCCAAUGAAAAAGCUAGCAUGGUUUAUUCAGCAUUGGUUGUCGAUAAAGAGGUAACCAUCAUGUGCUAUUCUGAUUCAAAGCUUGUGUUCAGUUAAAUUCUGACUGAAAUAAUACUUGAAUUGUGCCAUGCACAACAGUUGCAGCCGGACAAGGUGAAAAGGGAGAUGUCAAUCUCCAAUGGGAAGCUUUCAGUGUCAGUAUACGAUUUACCUUGGAUUUAUUUACAAGUUCAAGUUAAAAUACGAGGCAAAUACAUUAAGAAAACCAAUUAUACUUAAAGACGGAAUACUCCAAUAUAGGCAGACCAAAUUAUUCGACCUUUCACCAUUCUUUAUACAUCUAGUGUUUUUGUAUUUUGGAAUUGUUUUCGCCCUUUUGACAAAUGUAUACUCGCAUGUACAGGCAUUUUGAGGCUGUCGAAGCAAGGUUUCUUCGUGCAUCAUAUAGUGCUUUUGUUGAUGUUCUUACACUUGCGACGAAGACAAUUGAAGAAUUUGGCCAAAGGGAUUGAAUUGUGACAUGAACUUGAUGUUAUCAAGAGUUGUAUCAUUGGUUGAAUUUAUGACUCAUACGUUUUUUCUUAAAUUUUGAUAUGAACUUGAUGUUGUUAUAAAGAGUUGCAUCAUUGGUGAAAUAAAUGAUUCAUAUUUUAUACCUUUGUCUUGUGACUUAGGUCCCAUUAUUGUCAAUUUAACUUUUUAUUUCAUGCAAUGCUUGUAUAGAGAACCCUACGACCCCUACAGUGAACUGUAUAAUUAAGUUUCGCAGUCCAAUCGAGAAAAUACAACUUAUUCCAAUGUGUUCUUUUUUCUCACAUCGAUUAUCACAGUUGACGGUACUGCUUAAACUUUUCAUUGUAACUAAAGAUGAACAG
rnacentral:lncRNA from 1 species